rnacentral:lncRNA from 1 species
UCGUAUUGAAGCCUUUGCCUUGCUCCUUCUCUGUCUGCUUGCUUCCAGUCUUUAUUGCUAUCUCCCACCUCCAGAGCCAUCUAUUAAAUGGCACGAUGUGCUGGAAACAAACUCCAAGCAGGACUGGGAGAUUCACAAUCAGCUCACUAGAGAAGCCAUUGAAGAAACCGAGCCCAUCACCCUGGAGAAAACAAGACCUGGAGUGGAGUGAUUCCAUCCAUGUUGGGAUGAGCACCGAGCAGACACCAUGUGGUCGGAGAAGGGUAGCAAGGAGACAAACCAGGAAACAUCGGCACUCAUCUCUGCUCUCAGGUGGACAGCUGUCCUGCCCCAGCCAGGCUUCAUGCCUGUCUACAGAAGACAGGUUCCAUAAAGCCAGGGUAGAUGAUGGACUGGGGCUAAAGGGAGCUACAGAGCUGUUCGAGAAAGGGCCAGCUUUUGCUAUGAUGCCUAUGUGUGGUCCAUCCCAUCCUCUCUAGUUCACCUGGCCCUGGGUCUGAAACUAGAGACUGGCAGACAUAUGGAUCCCAGGAUUUUUUCCCUAUGGUGGUUGGCUUCCAGGGUGGGGCUGCAUGCAAUGGGAGAGGGAGGGUCAUCUGCUAGGAUCCCAGGGCAAUUGGACCUCAACAAGGGUGGCUGCUCCUUGUCUUCUUCUUUCCAUGGACUUAUAGGGGACCAGAAACAAGGCUAGCAGUAAGAGAGCCAGCAGUGGUGUCACAGGCUCUCUGGAUGUAGGCAAGGCAGCCCCUAUGUUGUAGCUGUUGCAUGGCAAACAUGGUGUCUCAGAAAGGAGGAACUUCCAAAACCCUCACCUUAGUCCUGGUCACUUAAUUAAUUACAGACAGGUUCUUACUCUUUAGCUUAGGUUAGUCACCAAGAACUCACUCCGUAGCCCAGGCUAACCUCAUGCUCCAAGAAGUUUACUGGCAUGAGCUAACACUUCCAGCUAGAACAGGUCAUGUUACAGUUAAGAAAAAUGCCACCCAUAUGAGAGCAGACAUAGUUACCAGGGUCUAAACACGAAGUGGCUGGCUCAGGAUGAGGAGCCUAGCGGAUGAAGGAAUUAAUGAAAGAAACAAAUAAAUAAAUGAAGAAGGCUACCAAUCCCUUGGCUCUUCCCAGUGACAAUACGUCUCUCCGUACCAUGCUAAAGGAGCUGGCUUUCUGGUCUCUUAUGACAGAAGAGGCACAGUCUGAUUUUUGAGACAUGGUCUCACAUAGUUGGCCUUUAACUUACUACGUUGUCCAGGAUGACCUCGGGGUUUUGAUCCUCCUGCCUCUAUCUCCUGGGUGCUGGGAUUAUAGUAAUGUACCACCAUAUCUGAUUUGUAUGGUGCAGGUGCUUGACAAACCCAGGGACUCACGCAUGUCAGGCAAGCACUGUACCACUGAGCUACACUUCUAGCCUCCUAGGCUGAGUUCUUGCCUGGCCUUUGGUAGUUGCCUGAACUGUACCAGAUUCUCUUUUCAUCCUCAUUGGAUCUUUCUGAGAGGAGGGAUCCUGAAACUGAAAGAAUAUUCCAGAUCUGCUCCAGUUCAGCCCUGUAGUCAGCUGGAGGAAAACGGGAGGCUUUUCUGCCCAUUGGUCCCCAGCACGCAGUCAGCAAAUUGGCCAUCCUUAGGAAAGGUCAGCUGAAUCAGCCACCCCACCCCGCUGCAAGAAACGUGCUUGGUAUUUUUAGAAGCCUUUCAAGCUCCCGAGCUCAGCAAGACACACUCUGAACCUUUGCCUAUCCAACCCCAGUCCCAGCUCAACCCCAGAUCAGCCUGGCCCAAGCCACGCCAGGCCAGGCCAGGUCUGCUUCCGCCCAGUUCAGCCCAGACACACUUCCUCACAGUUCAGGCAAGUUAGUGGAGGCAGCUGUGUGAGAGGAGAGGGUCAAUCCAGAGUGGCCAGGUGGGAUAAGCCUGGCAUCCUUUAGAUGGUAAGAUAUGACCCGAGGUCCAAUCUGCUACUCAGUUUAUCACCGGGCCCUGAGAAAACCCCGCCCCCUAUAUCAUUCCCAGCUGUGCAGUGGAUAAGUCAUACCUUCAGGUCCAUUUAGAAGAGAAGCAGGAUAAAUAGAAAUUCAAUCAACAGUCAAAAGUGCUGUACUCUGGUGGAUUUCGGGUAAAUUCUUGUAAGGCCUGGAUGAGGUCGUGUUAGAGAAUUUUGUGUUCCUUGGAAAGAGAUACUUAAAGAGAUGAAGUCAUAAAAAUCUGUCAGGGAAUAAGAUUGUGCUUAAAAGGCAUCUUUCCAUUUGAGGAGGGAGAUAUGUGGUCUAGGACAGGCUGGGAGGCUUUGGGACAUGAGGUUCUGAAGACUCCAGCCAGAGUCUAUUACUUCUCUUAUUGUAAUAGGUUGAGGAAGGAUACUGGAAUAGAGACAUCUUUGGCUCUGGUCCUCUCUAGGUGACCUUUGGGCAUCAUUGAGUUAUCUUGGGUCUGAUUGUUUACCUAUAAAUUGGCAGGAUUGAAGAAGGAGAUGUUUGCACUAAACAUUCUCUGAAAUUGGUCAGCUUCCAUUGGGUUGGAGGGGUUUGUGGCAGUUCCCCAGAGUUCUUCAAAGGCACAAGACAGCCAGGGCUAUACAGAGAAACCCUGUCUCAAAAAAACCAAACACCAAACCAAGAAAAAAACCCAAACAAACAAACAAACAAACAAAAAAGGUACCCUUGUAUU